CUGUCUCUCUCCUUCAUCCCUGAUGAUGUGCAGCAGCCAGAGAUAAACCUCCUUAGUCUCUGUGCUCUGGAGGGGUCCAUCUGGCACCUGUCAGAAGUCCUACCCUCAUUUUUGGGGAUGGCACAAGAAGCAGAGUUAUCCCACAGCCCUGUGAUGGCAUUCCUUGGCUCAUUAACUCCUGACCAGCACCACAGUGCAGGAUUGAUGGUUUUCUAUAUCUGUGUAAAGGUAAUUGUCAAGGUUUUCUUGCCUGAUGUUCUACAAAGCAAAUCCUGAUAUGCACUGACCCAGAGGGAAUGCUGUGGGCAGGAUCAAAUCCCAGUAAUUUCUGCCUUUGACUUACCAAGAUGGACUGUAAGUACAAUUCCUUGCGUUCCCAUGGGCCAGAUGCUGCUCCUGGAGGUUCUGGGCAAAGGUUUUACUGUCCCUGUCAGUGGUUUCUGGGCAGACACACAUCUGUGCUGGGGCUAAGGCUGUGGGAUUUGGGGGCCCAGUCCUGAACCAGGGACUGCUUUAUUUGCUGCACACAACAUUUUCAGGGUACAGCUGCUGCUGCUGCUCUGGUAUCACCAGCUGGAGCACUGUGAUUCCCACAACACACAUUGCAGGGCCCUGUGGCUGUGGGAUGUGUCACAGGAUGGUUUGGGUUGGAACAGACCUUAAAGAUCAUCUCAUUCCACCCUGCCAUGGCAGGGACACCUCCCACUAUCCCAGGUUGCUCCAAACCCCAUCCAGCCUGGCCUUGAACUUCCAGACAUGAGGCAGCCACAGCUUCUCUGGACUAUGUGCUCAAGCACCUCCUCACCCUCACUGGGAAGAAUUUCUUCCUAAUAUCCAGUCUAAACCUACUCUCUGUCAGUCUGAAGCCAUUCCCCCUUGUUCUGUCACUAAUGUUCUUGUAAAUAAUCUCUCUUCCUCUCGUAGCUCCCUUCAAGGCUGGGGAGGGGUGAAGAAAUGCAAACUAUUGGAAAACGUGGUCAUAAAAUCUGCACCAAAUCAGGAAAGUGCCCCAUGGGGAGGAAGAUCAUUAGGAAGAAUGUGGAAAUUCUGGGCACCUUUCCAACAAGGAACAGGAGAGCAUCUGGACCAGGCAGUCUGGCCAAGAGCUGGAUGCCUACAGGAGAAAGGCAGGCAGGAUCAGCAACACCAGUGAGUUCACAGGCAAACAUGUGGCCCUAUAAAGUGCAUCCUAAAAUUCAUAAUGCCAUAAAACACGUGCCACCAGCCUGGAAGAGCUGCAGGACCCCAGCAGAGCUGCUGAGGUCUCACAGCAUCAGCCCUGGAGUCAUCAGAAUCACGGACCAACCCUUGAGGCUUUGCAGUGGGGAUCCAGGGGUUUCAAGUGCCAUCCCACACUGUUCUGAUGUCUUCAGUUUGGGGGAAAUAUUUGUUUUUGCCAUGGACAACCCCUUGGUUCAGCAGGUGCCACUUGUCAGCCAUAUCCAAGGAAGAACGUGGGCUUUGCACUCUUCAUUCCAAGGCAUGGAGGCCUUGAGAGGCACCCAGCAUCCUGGGAAAGUCCUGGCAAACAAACAGCACCAAAGGAAGGCUCCCUCUGAUCCCAGCUGGACUUUCCUUAGACCUGCUUUUCUCCAUGGAAGGUCCACAGCCUGGAACACCUUCCUGAGGAAAGUACUUCCAUCCCCAUACUUAAAAUACACCAGUCAGGCUUGUUUUAAUUCACAGAUAAAUCUCGAAAUCCCUGAGGAACUGUCUGGGGUGUGCAUUGAAGAGUCCUUGCUAUGA
ensembl:lncRNA